AGUGAACGCUGGCGGCAGGCCUAACACAUGCAAGUCGAGCGGCAGCGGGUCCCCGCGAGGGGAUGCCGGCGAGCGGCGGACGGGUGAGGAACACAUCGGAAUCUGCCUGGUUGUGGGGGAUAACGUAGGGAAACUUACGCUAAUACCGCAUGCGACCCUGAGUCGACGGACUGGGGGUGAAAGUGAGGGACCUUCGGGCCUCACGCGACCAGAUGAGCCGAUGUCGGAUUAGCAGUUGGCGGGGUAACGGCCCGCCAAGGCGACGAUCCGUAGCUGGUCUGAGAGGAUGAUCAGCCACACUGGGACUGAGACACGGCCCAGACUCCUACGGGAGGCAGCAGUGGGAAUCUUGGACAAU
rnacentral:rRNA from 1 species